GUUAAUUUUACCUUUUUUUGCACAGCUGGAGAUCAAGGAGGCUGGAAUAAUCUCUACCUUGUAUCUAAAUUUGUCUAUUCAGAGGUUCAAGGUUCCACCCAUGUGCACAUUGGUUUCCUCCCACUAGCAAAAGAUAUGUUUCAGGUGAAGUUGCAAAGACUCAUCGACAUCUAAGUGUUAUUGGCCAGCAGAAAUGGAAGAUGACUGAAAAGUGACAUCUGCACUGGACCACAGGGAGGCUGGCUACCCCAGAAAGAUUUUGGUCUUGCUGUUGGUAUUGAGGUGCUACAGCUGAACUGUCUAUUUUGGGAAUGAGUGCUAGAGGCCUCAGAUGUGUAUUUUGUGUAAAUAUAUAUAUACAUAGUUCAUUGUAAACCAGCAACUGCCGGAAAGGGGUGAGUGCUUGUUUUGUACCAGUUUUUCUCCUGUUUUUUCUUUAGUUAGGAGUCAAGUUAGACUGGUGUAUUUUCGUUUGAUUUUGUUUGGAUAGGGUAGAAAGUGGCACAAAGGGUAGGAUUUAUUUUGUUUGUUGUUUUGG
rnacentral:lncRNA from 1 species